rnacentral:rRNA from 1 species
AUUGAACGCUGGCGGCAUGCCUUACACAUGCAAGUCGAACGGUAACGCGGGGCAACCUGGCGACGAGUGGCGAACGGGUGAGUAAUGUAUCGGAACGUGCCCAGUAGUGGGGGAUAGCCCGGCGAAAGCCGGAUUAAUACCGCAUACGACCUGAGGAUGAAAGCGGGGGACCGUAAGGCCUCGCGCGAUCGGAGCGGCCGAUGUCAGAUUAGGUAGUUGGUGGGGUAAAGGCUCACCAAGCCGACGAUCUGUAGCUGGUCUGAGAGGACGACCAGCCACACUGGGACUGAGACACGGCCCAGACUCCUACGGGAGGCAGCAGUGGGGAAUUUUGGACAAUGGGCGAAAGCCUGAUCCAGCAAUGCCGCGUGCAGGAAGAAGGCCUUCGGGUUGUAAACUGCUUAUGUACGGAGCGAAAAGGCUCUCUCUAAUACAGGGGGCUCAUGACGGUACCGUAAGAAUAAGCACCGGCUAACUACGUGCCAGCAGCCGCAGUAAAAC